GAGGGUGGUGCCAGGCCAAUGAGCUGACCCAGGCACCUCAGCAGACUGAGGUGCAGCAGCCUGUGCCAUUGAUCCUGCCCAGGGAGGUGGUGCUCUAAAGGCCUCCUGGCCCCAAAGACAGGGAUAGGCAGUCACUGAUCAUGUAGAUUCGGGGGGACUCCUGCUCCUUCGGAUCCGGAUCCUACUCCCACCCAG
rnacentral:lncRNA from 1 species